AGGCAUGCUUCACGGGCUUGUUGGCUUCUGUUUUGAUGUCGUCUGCUGUCGCUUCAAACUCGGAGUCUAUCGGCCCAGAGAGGACGUGCAGCCACACAACCAGAUGAACAACCUGAACCAUCACCAGACUCCUCUGCUGGCUGAUGAUGUUGCUCAGGAGUAGCUGCUUCCUCCUCCUGCAUGGUUUAAUGGUAAACAGGGGACCAGACAAAUAAUGAACAGUUUCAGUGCUUUCUCAUCCCAGUGGGAUAGAUGGCUCAAUCCAGCCCAUCAGAUGAUAUUAUGUGUUUAUUUAUUUUAUAUAUGUUUGUACAUCCACCCCUCGUCCUGCUCACCUGAGAUGUGAGUGAAAGCGGCAGGAAGGAGACACAAGGAGAGAGGAGUUAAGACAGCAGGCAUUUACCAAAACAAGACAUCAUUUUAAAGCGACAUCAGCUGAAGCACUGGCACAUCGUGUGUCUUUUGUCUCGUCACAGGCUAUUUUAAGAUCUCAGUCAGAUGAGCUGUUCAUGACAACUUCCAGUUACUUUUAAUUCAGCAUACAACAUGGCAUAAUGCGACAAGAACGUUCGGCUUUGACACUUGAAUUUUUUUUAAACACGCGCCAAACUCAUUAAUUCAAACAGAAAACCUACAGCUGUCGACUCUGCCUCCCACUGUGUAGAACCCAGCUGUGUGUCACGCAUUUAAAUGUCACGGGUGCCAAAAAGACGAACAAAGGAUACUCUUCUGCAUCCUUACACAGCUCUUCCAGCAAGCCUCCUCUCUCGAGAUGCAUUUUAGGAGUUAAGACAUUCUUCAAAAUGGUGCUCUGACAUCCGGGUCACAGUACGAAGAAUGGAAAAGACGAAUACGUGCAAAGCAGCGAAAAGGAAAGAGCCCUAUGUCAUAAAAUUGUGCUUCUCUACUGAAAAAGGCAAAGCUGCUUAUAAAACCCUGUCCUGUUCACUUAGAUAUCACAGCUCACAGUGAUGAUUGCACUUUAGGAAGACGUGGCGUGAGACACGUGUCCUGUGACUGUGUGUUCAUCUUGUUUUAGCACCUUUUUAAUGUUGUAUUUUCUCUGUUCGAUUUGCUGUCACAGCAAAUGCUGCUGAUUGUUUGUUUGUUAUUCCAACUACAUUAAAGUUUAAAUACCCAUGAAUUCAAAAGGCCA